ensembl:lncRNA
UUUACUUCCUGGUUGCAUCAUCGGUUGUUUAACUGGUUUGGUCUGUUGAGACUGUAUUUAGCUUCAGUAUAAAAGCAGAGCACAUCCAUGAACGCAGACGGAAGCCCCUGCAGCUGCUGGCUAUAAAAACAAGGAUUCUCCCUUUGGAUCUUUAAUACUGCGUGACAUCUCUCUCCGUCUUACAGAUACGAAUGGAGUGUAAAAAGAAAAUAAAGCAAACAAAAAGCUACAGGAGCAUCAGAGACCACAGAUGAGCAAACAACGAGGAAAGAGAGAAAUGGAGGUCAGGAAUAAGACCCAAACCUGUGAAUCACAAGAGAAAAGCAGACAGAUAUCUGCUAGAUGUGAGAGUAUGGAGAAACUAAAGCCGUACUGUGAGUGUUUGUUAAUCAUUCAUCAUAUUUCAGGGCUGUUUUUUCCUAAAACUCCUGUCAGUGACACAUUCAGCCCGAAACAUUUACAGACUGUUAUUGAUCAAGAACAUACUGCAUGUUAAUGAGAAUAAUCUGAAAUAUGUUUGUGAUUUCUAGUGUAAUGUGAUCCAGACGGACCUGUGAAAAUGAUUCUGAUGUUACAAGAUUCUCACAUCGAACCCUUCAUCACUGAAGUCCAUCAUCUUCAUCAUCAUCAUCAUCAUCAUCAUCAGAAUACUGAUCUGGAAGCUUUUACACUCGUCUGAGCACAAACACACUACAAGAGCUUCUUUCCCAGAGAAUCUGCUGAUGCUGCACUUUACUCUCAAUCCUGUGCAUCAUACAGAUUGUUUUUGUUUAACAAAAUUUGUUUCAAUUUACACUGUCUCAUAUUUCAUUUACUAUGCAUGUUUUUGUAUUCCCGAGCUUUAAUUGCUCAUUCUGAUUGGAAUACAAAAACAUGCCUAGUAAAUGAAAAUGCAUGAAAUAUUAAGCAGUGUUUUUUAUGAUAUGAUAUUUGUAUGAUUUAUAUGACACAAUAUGAUAUUAUGAUUUAUUUCAUAGAUUGUGUCCACCUGAUUUCUAUCAGAACGGCCGUUUGUGAACUGAACGGAUCUGGCUUCCGCUCUCAUGCACUUCCAGUUAUUUUUAGCUGUUCAAAACAGCUGUUUAAUAUUACAAAACCUGGGUUUUACCAUGAUAUUUUAAUGAAUUGUCAUUAUUAAUACGCUGGUCUGUAGUGCAAAUUGUUAUACAGUUUACGACACUCAAUUCUUCAAGUAUUUUCAUAUUGCAGCAGAUGAAUCUGAAGUUGCACACGUUCAGAAAAUCAAUUUUGCUAAAAAAGAUGGAUAUUUAUUUCGUAUCCUUCAAUACCGUUUGUUGCAUAUGUAUUUAUUAACGCUUCACCCUAUUCUUAAUUAACAGUAAUGAUUCAGUAUUCUGUUAGUGCAACUGACUCCAAGCUAUUUGUAUACUAUAGUGUCCUCCGUUCUCAAACUGCUCUUCACAUGUAGGUUUAUAUCGAUGCUGGAGUCAGUAACAGCAUCUCACAGCUGGACAUGACCCUCGACAGAUCAGAGUCCUCUCUCUCUCUCUCUCUCACACACACACACACACAGACACACACACACACAGACACACACGCUGAUCUCUGUACUGUCUCAAGUUACUAUCACUGUGCUGUCUGUGAACACUAAGUGUCUUAUCAAGGACUGAUCCACAGGUGCAUGUGCAAUAAAUGUUUAUUGUUCAUUAAACAAGCUUGAAAAUGUUGUUUAAACCCUUUCUGAU